AGUGGCGGACGGGUGAGUAACACGUAAGAAUUUACCUUUAGGAGGGGGAUAACAAUUGGAAACGAUUGCUAAUACCCCAUAGGCUUUCGAGUGAAAUGGAUUUUUCCGCCUAGAGAGAAGCUUGCGGCUGAUUAGCUUGUUGGUGAGGUAAUGGCUUACCAAGGCGACGAUCAGUAUCUGGUUUGAGAGGACGAUCAGACACACUGGAACUGAGACACGGUCCAGACUCCUACGGGAGGCAGCAGUGGGGAAUUUUCCGCAAUGGGCGAAAGCCUGACGGAGCAAUCUCGCGUGAGGGAUGACGGCCUAUGGGUUGUAAACCUCUUUUUUCAGGGAGGAAGAAAAUGACGUGUACCUGAAGAAUAAGCAUCGGCUAACUCCGUGCCAGCAGCCGCGGUAAGACGGAGGAUGCAAGUGUUAUCCGGAAUCACUGGGCGUAAAGCGUCUGUAGGUGGUUUACUAAGUCAACUGUUAAAUCUUGAAGCUCAACUUCAAAAUCGCAGUCGAAACUAGUAGACUAGAGUAUAGUAGGGGUAAAGGGAAUUUCCAGUGGAGCGGUGAAAUGCGUAGAGAUUGGAAAGAACACCGAUGGCGAAGGCGCUUUACUGGGCUAUUACUGACACUCAGAGACGAAAGCUAGGGUAGCAAAUGGGAUUAGAUACCCCAGUAGUCCUAGCCGUAAACAAUGGAUACUAGAUGU
rnacentral:rRNA from 1 species